rnacentral:rRNA from 1 species
GACGAACGCUGGCGGCGUGCCUAAUACAUGCAAGUAGAACGCUGAAGGAGGAGCUUGCUCUUCUGGAUGAGUUGCGAACGGGUGAGUAACGCGUAGGUAACCUGCCUGGUAGCGGGGGAUAACUAUUGGAAACGAUAGCUAAUACCGCAUAAGAGUAGAUGUUGCAUGACAUUUACUUAAAAGGUGCAAUUGCAUCACUACCAGAUGGACCUGCGUUGUAUUAGCUAGUUGGUGGGGUAACGGCUUACCAAGGCGACGAUACAUAGCCGACCUGAGAGGGGUAUCGGCCACACUGGGACUGAGACACGGCCCAGACUCCUACGGGAGGCAGCAGUAGGGAAUCUUCGGCAAUGGACGGAAGUCUGACCGAGCAACGCCGCGUGAGUGAAGAAGGUUUUCGGAUCGUAAAGCUCUGUUGUAAGAGAAGAACGAGUGUGAGAGUGGAAAGUUCACACUGUGACGGUAUCUUACCAGAAAGGGACGGCUAACUACGUG